UACAGAGGUCUCAAGCGUUGUUCGGAUUCAUUGGGCGUAAAGGGUGCGUAGGCGGCGCGGUAAGUCGGGUGUGAAAUUUCGAGGCUUAACUUCGAAACUGCAUUCGAUACUGCCGUGCUUGAGGACUGGAGAGGAGACUGGAAUUUACGGUGUAGCGGUGAAAUGCGUAGAUAUCGUAAGGAAGACCAGUGGCGAAGGCGGGUCUCUGGACAGUUCCUGACGCUGAGGUGCGAAAGCGUGGGGAGCAAACAGG
rnacentral:rRNA from 1 species